rnacentral:rRNA from 1 species
CCUACGGGCGGCUGCAGUAGGGAAUAUUGCUCAAUGGGGGAAACCCUGAAGCAGCAACGCCGCGUGUAGGAUGACGGUUUUCGGAUUUUAAACUUCUUGUGCUAGAGAUGAUAAUGACGGUAUCUAACGAAUAAGCACCGGCUAACUCCGUGCCAGCAGCCGCGGUAAUACGGAGGGUGAAGGCGUUACUCGGAAUCACUGGGCUUAAAGGGCGCGUAGGCGGGAUAGCAAGUCAGAUGUGAAAUCCUACGGCUUAAACAUAGAACUGCAUUUGAAACUGUUAUUCUAGAGUAUGGGAGAGGGAGGUGGAAUUCUUGGUGUAGGGGUAAAAUCCGUAGAGAUCAAGAGGAAUACUCAUUGCGAAGGCGGCCUGCUAGAACAUAACUGACGCUGAUGCGCGAAAGCGUGGGGAGCAAACAGGAUUAGAUACCCGUGUAGUC